rnacentral:rRNA from 1 species
UACAGGGGGUGCAGACGUUGCUCGGAAUUAUUGGGCGUAAAGCGCGCGUAGGCGGCUACUUAAGUCGGAUGUGAAAGCCCUUGGCUCAACUGAGGAAGUGCACCCGAAACUGAGUGGCUAGAGUACGAAAGAGGGUCGCGGAAUUCCCGGUGUAGAGGUGAAAUUCGUAGAUAUCGGGAGGAACACCGGUGGCGAAGGCGGCGACCUGGGUCGAGACUGACGCUGAGGCGCGAAAGCGUGGGGAGCAAACAGG